CCUUUACCAUUUAUUUACUUUUUUUUUGUUGUUCCUAGGUUUUACCGGACUUGUUUGACUUUGGAGAAUUUAUGUCGACAUAAACUUUUGGGGGCGUUUCACUUUGGUGAUUCCGCUAUCUCUAAAAAAUAAAUAAAUAAACACAUGAUCAAUAAACACAUUGCUGUCAAUUAAACAUUCAUGGUUACUUUUGAACACUUUUGUCACCCUCAUUCAGGAACAAGUACAUUGCACAUCAUUGGCUUGUGUAUAUAUGUGUGUGUGUGUGUGUGUGCUAAAGUGCACACCCACCCCCACACAAGAGACCAUGUGAGGGUAUCAGGUGGUAGAAUGUACAGACGAUACCAGCAACGUUGGACUACAGUAUAAGGCAGCCAAAAUACGCCACAACAGACACACAAACGUCACACGCCAGUCACGUAUCGCAACAGAAAAGUGCUUCCGGCUCACAAAAGUUCACCACGAGGAAUAACGCGCACCCCUUUAUGAGUUACGCGCACAUGUUGAAAAAUACAUUCAAGUUGACACACGAUACUUUGGGGAGGGGAGGGGCAAAGUUUGGGGCUCGAGGGACAGUUAGGACACCUUAUUUAAAAAAAAUAAACUAAUCAUAAUAAUGUAAUUCAUAUUCCCGAUUUAAAAGAUAAAACUGGGAUUGAUUCUCAAUUUUAAUGCUAUUAUUUAUAAUUAACCCAAGUGUAAUUAUUUAGCCGAUUAUUGACCAGGAUAAAUAACAGCAACUAAAUCUCAAAUUGUAAACUAAAAAAAAUGCUAACAAUACAUCAUUCUGUGAUCAAUAAAAAAAACAAUUUUAA